rnacentral:rRNA from 1 species
AGUGAACGCUGGCGGCAGGCCUAACACAUGCAAGUCGAGCGGCAGCGGGUCCUUCGGGAUGCCGGCGAGCGGCGGACGGGUGAGGAAUACAUCGGAAUCUGCCCUGUCGUGGGGGAUAACCUAGGGAAACUUAGGCUAAUACCGCAUACGACCUACGGGUGAAAGCGGGGGAUCGCAAGACCUCGCGGGACAGGAUGAGCCGAUGUCCGAUUAGCUAGUUGGCGGGGUAAAGGCCCACCAAGGCGACGAUCGGUAGCUGGUCUGAGAGGAUGAUCAGCCACACUGGAACUGAGACACGGCCCAGACGCCUACGGGAGGCAGCAGUGGGGAAUAUUGGGCAAUGGGCGCAAGCCUGAUCCAGCCAUGCCGCGUGGGUGAAGAAGGCCUUCGGGUUGUAAAGCCCUUUUGUCCGGGAAGAAAUCGUCUGGGCUAAUACCCCGGGCGGAUGACGGUACCGGAAGAAUAAGCACCGGCUAACUUCGUG